rnacentral:rRNA from 1 species
GACGAACGCUGGCGGCAUGCUUAACACAUGCAAGUCGAACGGAAAGGCCCUGCUUGCAGGGUACUCGAGUGGCGAACGGGUGCGUAACACGUUGGUGAUCUGCCCUGCACUUCGGGAUACGUCUGGAGCACUGUGUCUAAUACCGUAUAGGAGCCAUUUUUCGUGUGAUGGUUGGUAAGUUUUGUCGGUGUAGUAUGAGCUCGCGGCCUAUCUGCUUGGUGUUGGGUGGAUGGCCUACCAAGGCGGCGACGGGUAGCCGGCCUGAGAGGGUGGACGGCGACACUGGCAAUGAGCUUAGGGCCAGCAGCCGACGGGAGGAAGGAGUGGGGAACAUUGCCCAAAGGGCGCCAGCCAGAUGCAACGACGACGCGUGGGGGAGGACGGACUUUGGGUUGUAAACGCAUUUCGCUAGGGACGAAGCCUUUUUUGACGGUACCUAGAGAAGAAGCACCGGCUAACUACGUG